rnacentral:tRNA from 1 species
GCCGGAGUGGUGAAAUUGGUAGACACGUCGGAUUCAAAAUCCGAUGGCCUUGCGGUCGUGCCGGUUCAAGUCCGGCCUCCGGUACCA